UGUUUAUCAUUGAGUUUAUCGUAAAGGUUUAUCGCGCGUGAUUUGCAAUCGCGUCGUUUGAAAAUAAAACUUUAAGAGAAUAUCGCUUGUUGUAUCACACAAUGAACGAUUUAUUUACACAAGAUAUAAAUAUAAUAUCAAUUAUUAUACAAAACAAUAAAUGAUUAAUAUACUAAAGGUAUAAAUGCUUAUCAGUUGAUAGUAUUGUAGAGUUAGAAAAGUUGAUAGCAUUAGAUGUAGCAGCGUCAUUGUAGUGACGUUGAACCACGACAUUUCAUGACAUCAUUGGUGACAUCAUAGUACUUGACGACAGACAUUAUGAUAGGACAAUGACGGGACGUCAUUCUAGAAAGAGGGGAAGUGUGUAACCAGUUCGUGUUUUUGAUCUUUUCGUUUAUUUUAAACUUUUCACAUUUUAGUUUUACAGAGUUGUCUAUAAUCUCCCUUUCAUUGUAAAUUUGAGUGAUUAGUCAAGCAUUUGAAUUCCCGCUGUUUUUGAACCAAUUAUUGUGGUCAUGUGAUAUAGUGUUCACUCUUGCACAAGUCUUGGUACUGAGAAGUCAAAUGUGAACUAGCUAUGCUGAACUUUAUAUUAAUUUUAUUAUAACUAUUUUGGUGUUUCUUGGAAAUUGAAGGUUGAGUUAAUAGAGCACAGUAAGAGUCAGUGAGAGAAACAGAGGUGUAUUACCUAUACAGUAUAUGAAACCUGAUCCACAAAUGGGUUUGAAAUAUAUAUAUAGUAUACUCGAUCACAGCCUUUUGUUGUAUUGGACCCUUAUACUGACUGCUGGUUGGGGCCAGUGUGGUUGGCCAUUACUUUUAUUUACGUAUAUGGGCUGGAGCCCACCUGGU